UUACAAAGAAGGUCUCGCUCCUA
rnacentral:siRNA from 1 species